CCCCAGACUAACUGAUGAGCUCUAAGUAGCACUAGAAGUCAUCACUACCUAAAACACCCUUAACCCAAUCAUAAACCAUAAACUCCGACCGAGUACCUCCACCCAAUCUGCUUCCUAGCACGCUUCAGUCCCAGUCACCGAAGCUUGACUGGGGUCUCUCCAGAACUCUUCCACCUGACCAGACUCUUCUUUCAGGCACGUAUUGUCC